rnacentral:rRNA from 1 species
GAUGAACGCUAGCGGGAGGCUUAACACAUGCAAGUCGAGGGGCAGCAUAGGGUAGCAAUACUCUGAUGGCGACCGGCAAACGGGUGAGUAACGCGUAUGCAACCUACCCUGUACAGGGGGAUAACCCGGAGAAAUUCGGACUAAUAUCCCGUAAUAAUAUCCGGAGGCAUCUUUGGAUAUUUAAAGUUCCGACGGUACGGGAUGGGCAUGCGUAACAUUAGCUGGUUGGUAAGGUAACGGCUUACCAAGGCUAUGAUGUUUAGGGGUCCUGAGAGGGUGGUCCCCCACACUGGUACUGAGACACGGACCAGACUCCUACGGGAGGCAGCAGUGAGGAAUAUUGGUCAAUGGGCGCAAGCCUGAACCAGCCAUCCCGCGUGCAGGAAGACGGCCCUAUGGGUUGUAAACUGCUUUUCCAGGGAGAGAAACUUACGCACGUGUUGCGUGACUGACGGUACCCUGGGAAUAAGCAUCGGCUAACUCCGUGCCAGCAGCCGCGGUAAUCAA